GCUGUUGCUCAUUGGCAGAGCAUCUACCUUGCAUGCUGGAGGUUCCAGGGUCAAUACCUGGCAUCUCCA